rnacentral:hammerhead_ribozyme from 1 species
AUUCAGCUGACGAGUCCUAAAUAGGACGAAACAUGCGUCCUGGAU